CAGAGCUGUGAGGAGCCCAGAGCAUGCUGUCAGCAUCCAGCCAGGAGCUGGUGUUUCCUCAAGGUUCUCUGCAGCAGUGGCAGGGGGAACCAGCAGGAUGGCUGUGAGCUGUAAAUGUGGGAAGAGAUGCCCAAGACCUGGGAUUCAAGUUACUCAUACCUUGAGUUCCACGCACUCAGAGAUUCAUCUGCUUGAAACUUGGUUGUUUCCCACUGUACUCCUGAAGAAUGGUAUUUGUGGAAGUUGGGAAGGGAAUGGAUGGUUCCAAGCUUUCAGCCUGAAAGAUAAAGACUGUCCAUACCUUAUAUCUACACAGAUGUGCAUUACACAUAUACAAGUGAUACAUGAAUCCUAGAGAAGUUAGUGGGAGUGGAGGCAAAUUCUGCUGGCUGGCCAGAGAAGCUGCCUGCCCCCUUAAUUAGAGAAGGCAUUUCCCUAAUUUCAGCUCCCGGUUAUUGCCUUUCUAGGGAGAUGCACUCUCUAGCUGCUCCACAGGGAGAUGGAGUGGCAGUUGCUGUUGUCUCCACAGCUUGUGCAGAGGUACACAAGUUAUCCAUGAGCUGUGGAGCUGCACAGCCCCCAUGGCCAGUCCAGCCAGACAGCCCUGGCACGAGCUCAGUUAGUCCCUGCUCAUCUGCAGCUGGUCUGGGUUUGCUUGUUUGGACAGCAAGUGCCAUGUCUGUCACAAAAACAUACACAAAUCAAUCUGCAGUCCUGCCAAUAACACACAGAACACAUGACGUGCUCAGGCAUACUUCCUUGAUCCUUGUAGACCCAAUUUUACCCCAUUUCCCAUGCAUCUGUCCAUAAAGAAGAACCAUGAAGGGAAAAGAAUGGCAGGAAUGAAACAUUUGAAGAAUGCUUUCAACGAGCCCAUUAAACCAUCCUGCUGGAAACUGUAGCCUGGUGUGAUAGGUCUGGUUCAGAUUUUCCAUGUAUUUGAAGUCUUAUGUUGAAGAAUGAAGCCUCUGUUUUAGAGAAAUGAGUCCCCAAGCGGAAAAAGAAAGACCCCAGCUGUUAGUUAGGCACUUAAGGUUAUUUUGCUUUUUG